UAGCCGUAAACGAUACUCGCUAGGUGUCGGCCACGGUGCGACCGUUGUCGGUGCCGUAGGGAAGCCGUGAAGCGAGCCACCUGGGAAGUACGGCCGCAAGGCUGAAACUUAAAGGAAUUGGCGGGGGAGCACAACAACGGGCGGAGCUUGCGGUUUAAUUGGAUUCAACGCCGGAAAUCUUACCGGGACCGACAGCAACAUGAAGGCCAAGCUGAAGACUUUGCCGGAUUAGCUGAGAGGUGGUGCAUGGCGUAGUCGUGU
rnacentral:rRNA from 1 species